rnacentral:rRNA from 1 species
UACGUAGGGGGCAAGCGUUGUCCGGAUUUACUGGGUGUAAAGGGUGCUCAGGUGGUUGUGUAAGUCAGGGGUGAAAUCCUGGAGCUUAACUCUGGAACUGCCCUUGAUACUAUACAGCUUGUGUACGGAAGAGGCUGAUGGAAUUCCUGGUGUAGCAGUGAAAUGCGUAGAUAUCAGGAAGAACACCAGUGGCGAAGGCGGUCAGCUGGUCCGUUACAGACACUAAAGCACGAAAGCGUGGGGAGCAAACAGG